UUGUCUUACAUUUAAAAGUCAAUGUUUAUACAAAUAGAUAUUUCCCUUUAAAAAGCAUAAGAAACAGGUCAUAUAAAAGACUUUCAAUAACCAAGGAAAGAAGCCUUUGAGGCCAAUCGUUCUUCUGUCUUCUCCAAUGGGUACUUUUCCCUAUAAUUGUUUCGGAACCUUUUAGGUAAAUAUAUAACCACUUAUAUAAUUGAAAAACAGUAGCAUUUUUGAAAAAAAAAAUUCACAUUUAUUUACUGUCAAACAGGUGUUAAACUUUACACUGGAUAUUAGUGAUGGGCUCUUAUUAACAGCGGAAUUAAAAAAAAUAAAAUUAAAAUAAAAAAGAAUCACUGGAAAUUUGCACAAAGCUUUAAUUAUAAAAUAAAUUAAUGGCUAAACAAAGGCAUAAAAACCAAAAACCACGGAAGAAUAAUAUUCAGG